rnacentral:rRNA from 1 species
UACGGGGGGAGCAAGCGUUGUUCGGAUUUACUGGGCGUAAAGGGCGCGUAGGCGGCCACCGCAAGUCGACUGUGAAAUCUCCGGGCUUAACCCGGAAGGGUCAGCUGAUACUGCAGGGCUAGAGUGCAGAAGGGGCAACUGGAAUUCUCGGUGUAGCGGCGAAAUGCGUAGAUAUCGAGAGGAACACCUGCGGCGAAGGCGGGUUGCUGGGCUGACACUGACGCUGACAGCGCGAAAGCUAGGGGAGCGAACGGG